UGGGGAAUAGUUUAACGGUAGAACUCCCGACUCUGACUCGGGCAGUCUUGGUUCGAAUCCAGGUUCCCCAGCCA
rnacentral:tRNA from 32 species